AACACAAAGUCUGUGCACUUUCCCAAAUCCUUUUCUUAUCAAUUUCCCUCAAUUCAUUAGAGAGAGCAAAAAUGAUCCUGUGGCUAAACUUGGUGUCCUUAGUAGCAGUCCUCAGAGGCAUCCAGUCUGAGGUCCAGUUGGUGGAUUCUGGAGGGGAUGUGAGAAGACCUGGAGGCUCCCUUCAUCUCUCCUGCCAAGGCUCUGGAUUCACCUUCAGCAGCUAUUCCAUGUACUGGGUGAGACAGUAUCCAGGGAAAGGACUGGAAUGGGUGGCAAGGAUAGAUACAACUACCACUUACUACUCAGACAAAGUCAAGGGACGCUUCACCAUCUCCAGGGACAAUUCUAAAAGCCAACUCUACUUGCAAAUGAACAACCUGAAGCCAGAGGACACAGGAGUCUAUUACUGUGCGAGAGACACAGUGAGAGGAAGUGAAUCUGAAGCCAAGCAAGAAGCUUCUCUUCCUCUGAGCAGCUCUUUAAGUUGA